UGUUCGCCAUUUAAAGUGGUACGCGAGCUGGGUUUAGAACGUCGUGAGACAGUUCGGUCCCUAUCUGCCGUGGGCGUUGGAGAUUUGAGGGAAGCUGCUCCUAGUACGAGAGGACCGGAGUGGACGAACCUCUGGUGUUCCGGUUGUGACGCCAGUCGCAUUGCCGGGUAGCUAUGUUCGGAAGGGAUAACCGCUGAAAGCAUCUAAGCGGGAAGCCCCUCCCAAGAUGAGAUCUCCCUGGGACUUCGAGUCCCCUGAAGGGCUGUCCAAGACCAGGACGUUGAUAGGCUGGGUGUGUAAGCGUUGUAAGGCGUUGAGCUAACCAGUACUAAUGGCCCGUGAGGCUUGACCAU
rnacentral:rRNA from 1 species